rnacentral:miRNA from 1 species
GGAUUGAGCCACGCCAAUAUC